AUAUCCCAGAGGUUAUGAUAGGAUUUGUCGUUAUUGUCAUUCAGUUCAAAGAAUUUUUAAAUUUCCAUGUUGAUUUUGUUUUUGACCCAGUGAUCAUUCAGGAGCAGAGCCUGCAGCACUUUCUCAGAUUGACCAGCCUACAAUUGUGUAUCAACUGCUUGUUUACUAACUGCCAAGAACCUUUGUAAUCCCAAGGACUGCAGCAAAGCCAAGAAGCUGGUGUGUAAUAUCAACAAAGGCUGUGGCUAUGGCUGUCAGCUCCAUCAUGUGGUCUACUGCUUCAUGAUUGCAUAUGGCACCCAGCGAACACUCAUCUUGGAAUCUCAGAAUUGGCGCUAUGCUACUGGUGGAUGGGAGACUGUAUUUAGGCCUGUAAGUGAGACAUGCACAGACAGAUCUGGCAUCUCCACUGGACACUGGUCAGGUGAAGUGAAGGACAAAAAUGUUCAAGUGGUCGAGCUUCCCAUUGUAGACAGUCUUCAUCCCCGUCCUCCAUAUUUACCCUUGGCUGUACCAGAAGACCUCGCAGAUCGACUUGUACGAGUGCAUGGUGACCCUGCAG
rnacentral:sRNA from 1 species